rnacentral:rRNA from 1 species
CCUACGGGAGGCUGCAGUGGGGAAUAUUGCACAAUGUGGGAAACCCUGAUGCAGCAACGCCGCGUGAGUGAAGAAGUAUUUCGAUAUGUAAAGCUCUAUCAGCAGGGAAGAAGACGACGGUUCAUGAGUAAGAAGCCCCGGCUAACUACGUGCCAGCAGCCGCGGUAAUACGUAGGGGGCACGCGUUAGCCGGAUUUACGGGGUGAAAAGGGAGCGGAGACGGCAUAGCAAGUCUGAAGUGAAAGCCCAAGGCUCAACCUUGGGACUGCUUUGGAAACUGUUAAGCUAGAGUGCUGGAGAGGUGAGCGGAAUUCCUAGUGUAGCGGUGAAAUGCGUAGAUAUUAGGAAGAACACCAGUGGCGAAGGCGGCUUACUGGACAGUAACGGACGUUGAGGCUCGAAAGCGUGGGGAGCAAACAGGAUUAGAUACCCUUGUAGUC